GUUAUAAUUUUUUGAAAAAAAAUGUAAUUUCGUAUAAUUUAAUUUUAUUUAAAAUUAAUAAAGUAAAAACGCUAAUGUAUUAUUUGAUAUUAGAUUAGUUAGUUGGUGAAAUAAUAGUUUACCAAGACUAUGAUCUAUAGCUGUUUUGAGAGAAAUAUCAGCCACAUUGGGAUUGAGAUAAUGCUCAAACUUCUACGGAAGGCAGCAGUGAGGAAUAUUGGACAAUAAGCGAAAGCUUGAUCCAGCGAUAUCACGUGUGCGAAGAAGGUUUAAAUAAAUUGUAAAGCACUUUUUUUUAAAACUAUAAUGAAGUUUUAAAAGAAUAAGUACCGGCUAAUUACGUGCCAGCAGCAGCGGUAAAACGUAAGGUGCAAGCGUUAAUCGGAAUUAUUGGGCGUAAAGUGUAUGUAGAUUGAUUAGUGUGAUAUUUAUAAAAUCAUAAAACUUAAUUUUAUAAAGUAAAUAUUACUACUAAUCUUGAGUUUAAAUGAGAAAAAUAGAAUUUUACAAGUAGCAGUGAAAUGCAUAGAUAUGUAAAGGAAUACCAAAGGCGAAAGCAAUUUUUCAAUUUAAAACUGACAUUGUAAUACGAAAGCAUGGGGAGCAAACAGGAUUAGAUACCCUGGUAGUCCAUGCCCUAAACUAUGUCAACUAAUUAUUGGUAUCUUUAAUUUAGCUAACGCGUUAAGUUGACCGCCUGGGUAGUACGAUCGCAAGAUUAAAACUCAAAGGAAUUGACGGGGACCUGCACAAGCGGUGGAUGAUGUGGAUUAAUUCGAUGCAACACGAAAAACCUUACCUACUCUUGACAUGUAUGUAAAUGAUUUGAGAGAAUUGUUGUAACAUAACACAGGUGUUGCAUGGCUGUCGUCAGCUCGUGUCGUGAGAUGUUUGGUUAAGUCCUAAAACGAGCGUAACCCUUUUUCUUUAUUCUACAGAAAAUUAAGAAUACUGCCAUUAAUUGAAAUGGAGGAAGGAAAGGAUGACGUCAAGUCAUCAUGACCCUUAUGAGUAGGGCUUCACACGUCAUACAAUGGUUAUUACAAAGUUUUUUUAUUAAAAAUAACCUCAGUACAGAUUGUAUUCUGCAACUCGAAUACAUGAAGGAGGAAUCGCUAGUAAUCGUGAAUCAGCAUGUCACGGUGAA
rnacentral:rRNA from 1 species